rnacentral:snoRNA from 1 species
GGUGUUAUGAUGAGAUGAAGCACCGAAGUGUGUUUGGGCAGUAGACAUAAUCACAUGGUUUCGCCCGUGAGCCUUCAAUUUUAACGACUUCUCCUUCCACUGAGCACC